CCUGAAAACCCAUAAGAGGUCCAGCCUGCCCAGUGACCUUGUUCAACGGCCGCGGUAUCCUAACCGUGCGAAGGUAGCAUAAUCACUUGUUCUUUAAAUGAGGACUAGUAUGAAUGGCACCACGAAGGUUAUACUGUCUCCUUUUUUUGAUCAGUGAAACUAAUCUCCCCGUGAAGAAGCAGGGAUGAAUCUAUAAGACGAGAAGACCCUAUGGAGCUUUAAACAAAGCAACACCUGUUAAGCAAUAAAAAAAUUUAAGAAAACUAACAAACACUUUAACACCCUGUGUGCAAGUUUUGGGUUGGGGCGACCACGGAGUACAAUUUAACCUCCGCAAUGAAAAGACACCUCCUUAACCAAGAAUAACAACUCUAAGUAUCAAAAAAUUGACAUUCUUUGACCCAAUAAUUUGAUCAAUGAAC
rnacentral:rRNA from 1 species